rnacentral:lncRNA from 1 species
UACAGUGGAGACACCAGCCUCCCCACAGAACAGGUGGAGUGGUACAACUGCAUCCUUUUCUCUCAGCACAACCCGAGUGGACAUCGACACGUUCAGAUUUAGCAGAGAUUCUUUUUUUCGCCAGUAUCGGGAUUUGCCUGUGUGAGUGGCUUUAAAAGGAGGAAACCAGAGAGUGUUCCAUAAGAGGGAUUGAGUUCAGUAUGUGAAGCACCUGCCAAACAGCAAAAAAUGAG